rnacentral:lncRNA from 1 species
GCUUUAAUUAGAAAGGUUUAGUAAUUGGCUAGUAAUAGUAUCCUAUUUUAUUCUCUUUUUAUGAAUUACUUGUUUAUUUGGUUGCUUGUGUAGGAUCCUCUAGGCAUUCACUAAAGGUUUUUCUUGUUUUCCUUUUUUUUUUUUUUGGUUCUUCAAGUGUGGGGAUGAUUUUUUGGGUGUCAUUUCUGGUUAAUUAUAUUUUUCUCUUUUGAUGGAGAAUAGUUUAAGGCUAGUCAAAUUUUCCUUCUUGAUUGGUUUCUUGAUUUUAAUGAAACCAAAAUUUUAAGCUAAUUUUAUAUUGCUUGGCAUCAUAUUAUUUCAAAUUUUUUAAGGCGGAAGAUAAAGUGGGUAAGCUCCUUUUUAG